CGCAGCCGCGGUAAUUCCAGCUCCAAUAGCGUAUAUUAAAGUUGCUGCAGUUAAAAGCUCGUAGUUGAAUUUCGGGACUAAUAUGUCGGUCGUGCCUCGGUACGUACUGGUUUAUUGGUUUCUCCUUUCUGAAGAACCAUGAUGUCAUUUAUUUGGUGUCGUGGGGAAUCAGGACUGUUACUUUGAAAAAUUAGAGUGUUUAAAGCAGGCUCACGCUUGAAUACAUUAGCAUGGAAUAAUGAAAUAGGACGUUUGAUUCUAUUUUGUUGGUUUCUAGGAUCGACGUAAUGAUUAAUAGGGAUAGUUGGGGGCAUUAGUAUUCAAUUGUCAGAGGUGAAAUUCUUGGAUUUAUUGAAGACUAACUACUGCGAAAGCAUUUGCCAAGGAUGUUUUCAUUAAUCAAGAACGAAAGUUAGGGAUCGAAGACGAUCAGAUACCGUCGUAGUCUUAACCAUAAACUAUGCCGACUAGGGAUCGGAUGAUGUUAAUUUUUUAAUGACUCAUUCGGCGCCUUAAC
rnacentral:misc_RNA from 1 species